rnacentral:rRNA from 1 species
UACGAAGGGGGCUAGCGUUGUUCGGAAUUACUGGGCGUAAAGGGCGCGUAGGCGGUGAUGUGUGUGGGAUGUGAAAGCCCCGGGCUUAACCUGGGAAGUGCAUACCAAACUGCAUUACUGGAGUACAGGAGAGGGUAGCGGAAUUUCCGGUGUAGCGGUGAAAUGCGUAGAUAUCGGAAAGAACGCCGGUGGCGAAGGCGGCUACCUGGCCUGAUACUGACGCUGAGGCGCGAGAGCGUGGGUAGCGAACAGG